rnacentral:rRNA from 1 species
AGUAACAAAAAAGAGAUAAAUAUUAUACCACGAAAGAAAGUGAGCUAAAUAUAUAUAGUUGCAUUGCAUACGUAGCAUAGUAUGUAUAAAAUACGUAUUUAGGAGUGAUAGGCUUUUCAAGCGUUCUUAUAACUUGCUCCAUAUGAAAAGUAUUAAGUACCUGAACAGAUUUAAAAAGUUAAGCUUUUAAAUAAGUAUUAAGAACAUUAUUUCCCUGUAGUGUAGUAUAAUAACUGUCUACGUAGGAACUUAACAUAAAGUAUGUUAAUUUAUAUUUUAUAGUAUGGCAAUAACAAUUUCGUUACUAUUUGAUAAUGUUAUUAUUAGUAAUAUUAAUGUAUAUGCUAAAGGAACUCGGCAAAUAACCACUCAACUGUUUAUCAAAAACAUAGCUAUAUGGAUUAAUAUAUAGUUAUUUCUGCUCAAUGAUUUUAAAUAGCCGCAGUACUCUGACUGUGCAAAGGUAGCAUAAUCAGUUGGCUUUUAAUUGGAGUCUGGCAUGAAUGAAAAUAUGGGUAGUAACUGUCUUAGCAUAUUAUUUGAACUUAUUAAACAAGUGCAAAUGCUUGUAAUUACACAAUAGACGAGAAGACCCUAGAAACUUGAAUUGAUUUUUGUUGGGGCGACAGAAUUACAUUUAACUAAUUUUUAUUACAUGACGCAAGGUUGAAAGAAUAAGUUACUCUAGGGAUAACAGCAUAAUUUUAGUAGUUUGUGACCUCGAUGUUGGACUAGGUAUUAUACCCUUAAGACAAGGGUAUACCAUGCUCUGUUCGAGCAAGAUUACCUACAUGAUCUGAGUUCAGACCGG